UUGAUUUUUUGCCUGUUUAAUUCCAACUCAGUUGUGUCUUCUGGAUCCUGAAUUCUGAGAAGGUUGUAAUUAGGACUAACAGUAUGAAAACAGGCAAGUUUGCUUGAACCUGCUUCCAGAAGAAGAUCCACUGGCAAACUGAACGUGUAAUGUCCUUGCUGAUGAGGCCCAUGCUUUUCUGGUAGACUAGCUGAUAAUGUGUUUUAGUAGAAACUGUGUAAGGUUUCCAAUGUAAUGCAUUUAUU
rnacentral:lncRNA from 1 species